GCCCGGCUGGCUCAAUGGUAGAGCGUUGGACUUCUAAUCCAAAGGCUGCGGGUUCGAGUCCCGCGUUGGGUG
rnacentral:tRNA from 2 species